UACGAAGGGGGGCUAGCGUUGCUCGGAAUCACUGGGCGUAAAGGGUGCGUAGGCGGCCUCUUAAGUCGAACGUGAAAUCCCCGGGCUCAACCCGGGAACUGCGUCCGAUACUGGGGGGCUUGAAUCCGGGAGAGGGAUGUGGAAUUCCAGGUGUAGCGGUGAAAUGCGUAGAUAUCUGGAGGAACACCGGUGGCGAAGGCGGCAUCCUGGACCGGUAUUGAC
rnacentral:rRNA from 1 species